rnacentral:misc_RNA from 1 species
GAUGAAGAACGUAGCGAAAUGCGAUAAGUAAUGUGAAUUGCAGAAUUCAGUGAAUCAUCGAAUCUUUGAACGCACAUUGCGCCCGCCAGUAUUCUGGCGGGCAUGCCUGUUCGAGCGUCAUUUCAACCAUCAAGCCCCCGGCUUGUGUUGGGGACCUGCGGCUGCCGCAGGCCCUGAAAACCAGUGGCGGGCUCGCUAGUCACACCGAGCGCAGUAAUACAUCUCGCUUUGGGCGUGCGGCGGGUUCUUGCCGUUAAACACCCCCUUUUUACCAAGGUUGACCUCGGAUCAGGUAGGAAUACCCGCUGAACUUAAGCAUAUCAAUAAGCGGAGGA